CAGCACCACGUGCCCCAGGUGCGCAAUGUUUUCCACUUGGGGCUUGUUCCCAUGGUCCGUAAAAGUCUCACCAGUGCCUGUGACUUUGCUAUUUCCCCCUCUCAUGGGCGGAGGAAGAGGAAUCGCCCUCUCUCAGGCCUCCGUGGGCGAAAGUCUUACACACUGCAGACAUUUUCAGCUUUAUUUUUUUAAAUUUUUUUUUCAACGUUUAUUUAUUUUUGGGACAGAGAGAGACAGAGCAUGAACGGGGGAGGGGCAGAGAGAGAGAGGGAGACACAGAAUCGGAAACAGGCUCCAGGCUCUGAGCCAUCAGCCCAGAUCCCGACGCGGGGCUCGAACUCCCGGACUGCGAGAUCGUGACCUGGCUGAAGUCGGACGCUUAACCGACUGCGCCACCCAGGCGCCCCCAUUUUCAGCUUUAAUCAGAGUCGCGCUGUUUUUCCGCAUCUGGACACCACCAUAAGCGCAAGAUGUCUGGCACGAACAGAGAAUUAAGCCUGCAGAGUUCUUCAACAUCUGGCCAGGCCCCUGACGGCCGUGCCAAGCUCCGAUCCUGCAGCAAGCCGGCUGGGUCACUGCGCCCACAGUCGGCCACCAGGGAAGCAAAGAGCAGUCAGCCCGCCCAGCAGCCACCGGUUUCUUUCUCAGAAAUUUGCCUCGGUCUCAUAGUCUCUUGCCAGCACUGGAUUCAGUCGGGUCGUUCAGCCGGCCCGCCCGUGUUGCCAGACGACACGACUCAUAAGCCAGAGAUCUGCGACUCAUGGCUCCACUCAUUUGAUCAGGCCAUGUGCUGCGUACCGAGAACACCGGAGCCCAGGAGGAAUGAAGAAGUGGGUCUGGACGUUGCUGUCGCCAUCUACUCCAUCCCUGCUCGAGAAAACGAUCGAACAGCUAUCAGGUAUGGUGUUGCCGGGAAUCCAGAAGGUACGGAAUAAUGCUGGGAAUUCAGGCACGUGGGGGAACUUUCCCGAGACGGAUCAGAACCUCAAACACAACCGAAAUCAAGCGAUUAACGUCCCAGCCUGCCUGAGACCCUUUACACCAAGAAGUGAAAAAUUGACACCCGGCGAAGCCUGUUUAUUUGGCAAAUCCUGAAUCCUGGGGAUGGUGUUGCAGGGGUUAAACUGUGUUCCCUCGUCCCGUCCCGUGGUGCUAGGACCUCGGUUAUCUACUUGAAUAUAAGUCCCUGGAAGGCAGAGAACAUGCCUGUCUUGUUCACUGUUGUAUUUCUAGUGCUUUUUUUCUUUUUUUAAUUAACGUUUAUUUAUUUUUGAGAGAGAGAGACAGCAUGAGCGGGGAAGGCUGGCUCCAGGCUCCGAGCUGUCAGCACAGAGCCUGACAUGGGGUUCGAACUCACCGCGAGAUUGAGACCUGAGCCGAAUUCGGAGGCUCAACCAACUGAGCCCCCCACACCCCUGUUGUAUUCCUGCUACUUAGCCAUACUUGGCCAGACCUGCACGUGCUGCAAGGAUUUGUAAGUAAGAUGCGAAUUACAGCAGAGCCCGUUUCCGAGACUGCGAACUCGAACUCGGAUCUAGAGAGGGUCCCACUGUGCUGAGCCAGACAGAGCGGGUGUCAGACAGUCCUGAGAGGUACAGACUGUGGCAAAUUGUCUUUAACGGCCUGGGUUGAAAGGCAGCCUCUUAUCCAACACUGGCCCGUCGUUGGCGGGCGGGAAUGAGGCCCAGCGUAAGAGCCCGAGUUUUAUAAAACGGACCGUGGUUUCGGGAAAUCGUCCUGAUGCAUGAGUGUUGGCCACAAAUUUUAUUUUUGUCACGUGUGAACUCCAUUAAAAUAAAAAAGGAAAGGUGCGGCCCGAGUC